rnacentral:rRNA from 1 species
AUUGAACGCUGGCGGCAGGCCUAACACAUGCAAGUCGAGCGAAGCGGGGACGGGUGAGUAACACGUGGAUAACCUCCUAUAAGACUGUGGUAACUUCGGGAAACCGGAGCUAAACCGGCUCCUUAUCUAUGGAUCCGCGCUGCAUUAGCUAGUUGGUAAGGUAACGGCUUACCAAGGCAACGAUGCCUAGCCGACCUGAGAGGGUGAUCGGCCACACUGGAACUGAGAAACGGUCCAGACUCCGACGGGAGGCAGCAGUAGGGAAUCUUCCGCAAUGGGCGAAAGCCUGACGGAGCAACGCCGCGUGAGUGAUGAAGGUCUUCGGAUCGGAAAACUCUGUUAUUAGGGAAGCGGUACCUAAUCAGAAAGCCACGGCUAACUACGUGCCAGCAGCCGCGGUAAUAC